rnacentral:rRNA from 1 species
AGAUUGAACGCUGGCGGCAGGCCUAACACAUGCAAGUCGAGCGGUAGAGAGGUGCUUGCAUCUCUUGAGAGCGGCGGACGGGUGAGUAAUGCCUAGGAAUCUGCCUAGUGGUGGGGGAUAACGUUCGGAAACGGACGCUAAUACCGCAUACGUCCUACGGGAGAAAGCGGGGGACCUUCGGGCCUCGCGCCAUUAGAUGAGCCUAGGUCGGAUUAGCUAGUUGGUGAGGUAAUGGCUCACCAAGGCGACGAUCCGUAACUGGUCUGAGAGGAUGAUCAGUCACACUGGAACUGAGACACGGUCCAGACUCCUACGGGAGGCAGCAGUGGGAAUAUUGGACAAUGGGCGAAAGCCUGAUCCAGCCAUGCCGCGUGUGUGAAGAAGGUCUUCGGAUUGAAAGCACUUUAAGUUGGAGGAAGGGUUGUAACCUAAUACGUUGCAACUUUGACGUUACCGACAGAAUAAGCACCGCUAACUCGUGCCAGCAGCCG